UCUGAAUUCUUUUACUGCCAAAACUCAUGUCCUCUGGUUGUCUGGCUGGGAGACUCCUCCUUCCAUCUGAACUAUGGAAGACCUUUGGUGGUUCUUAUAACCACUGUAGGAACCAUCCUUUAGUACAGGAUUUUAAAUCUCAAGAGCUGUAAGGGACCUACAAGAUCACCUAGAACUCAUAUUUGACCAGGACAGUAUUGUUAACAAGAGGCCACCUAACAAGCAAACUCUUAUUGAGAAAGGACCAUUACAGAAUUAUGACCUUUUGGGGCAUUGAAGUGGACCAGUUACCUACAGAACUUGAGUGUAUGGUAGAGCUAGAAGUGAGAGAAGUAUUGGUAGUGUCACGGUAAUCAUAAAGGGGCCACAUUUGAUGGAGAGAACAGAGAAGAAUGCCGACUGCUGGAAACAGCUUCCAAGACAAGGCCGAUUGCUUUUCUUCCAUAAUCUAGGAAGCUGAGAAAGAUAUUGACAGCUGACAAGAAGGGAAAAAAUGAGGGAAAACCAGCCACAGGAACAAAGUCCUUGAAUAUAUUCCUACAUCACAGCUUGGGAUAAUAAUUGGUGCUUAGAAGAAGAGGCAUCAUGA